CCGAGUUUUCAACUCCCAAACCCCAUGUGAACUUAUACCAUUUACACCGUUGCUUCGGCGGGUUCUCGCCCCGGGCUCUCUGCCCGGAACCAGGCGGCCCGCCGGGGGACCCAAACGCUAGAUUUUUAUUACUGUUGAGCAUGUCUGAGUGGAAUCAUUACAAAAUGAAUCA
rnacentral:misc_RNA from 1 species